UUAAACUGGGAUUAGAUACCCCACUAUGCCUAGCCUUAAACAUCGAUAGUAAAUUACCCCUGCUAUCCGCCCGGGAACUANGAGCAUCAGCUUGAAACCCAAAGGACUUGGCGGUGCUUUAGAUCCCCCUAGAGGAGCCUGUUCUAGAACCGAUAACCCCCGUUUAACCUCACCCUUCCUUGUUUAUCCCGCCUAUAUACCGCCGUCGUCAGCUUACCCUGUGAAGGCCUCAUAGUAAGCAGAACUGGCCUAGCCCAAAACGUCAGGUCGAGGUGUAGCGUAUGGAAGGGGAAGAAAUGGGCUACAUUCCCUAAUGCAGGGAAUACGAACGAUGCACUGAAAUGUUCAUCCAAAGGAGGAUUUAGCAGUAAGCAGAAAAUAGAGUGUUCUGCUGAAAUUGG
rnacentral:rRNA from 1 species